GUAAAUGAGAGAGAGCUUUCUUUAGUCCACUCAUGGGUUGCUGUAAGAUUUAAUUAGCUGCUGACUCAUUCAUCCAAAUGCUGAGUAAAAUAUACUCAAGUAUACUCUGCAAAUGAGUGAAUGAUGCGGGAGACAAAUUGAGUCUUAAGCUUCCUGUAUUUGGACUGAAGGGAGCUCCCUUUCUUUCUUCC
rfam:Medicago truncatula strain A17 chromosome 8, whole genome shotgun sequence.